rnacentral:tRNA from 1 species
GGAGAGGUGGCAGAGUGGUCGAAUGCGGCGGUCUCGAAAACCGCUAUACCGUUUACGGUAUCGGGGGUUCGAAUCCCUCCCUCUCCG